rnacentral:rRNA from 1 species
CAGUAGCCACGGUAAUACAGAGGGUGCGAGCGUUAAUCGGAUUUACUGGGCGUAAAGCGUGCGUAGGCGGCUAAUUGAGUCGGAUGUGAAAUCCCCGAGCUUAACUUGGGAAUUGCAUUCGAUACUGGGAAGCUAGAGUAUGGGAGAGGAUGGUAGAAUUCCAGGUGUAGCGGUGAAAUGCGUAGAGAUCUGGAGGAAUACCGAUGGCGAAGGCAGCCAUCUGGCCUAAUACUGACGCUGAGGUACGAAAGCAUGGGGAGCAAACAGGAUUAGAUACCCGCGUAGUCCCUGUCUCUUAUAC